rnacentral:rRNA from 1 species
UACGUAGGGUGCGAGCGUUAAUCGGAAUUACUGGGCGUAAAGCGUGCGCAGGCGGUUCGUGAUGUCUGAUGUGAAAGCCCCGGGCUCAACCUGGGAACUGCAUUGGAAACUAGCGGGCUGGAGUGUGGCAGAGGGGGGUGGAAUUCCACGUGUAGCAGUGAAAUGCGUAGAGAUGUGGAGGAACACCGAUGGCGAAGGCAGCCCCCUGGGCUAACACUGACGCUCAUGCACGAAAGCGUGGGGAGCAAACGGG